rnacentral:misc_RNA from 1 species
UUUCCGUAGGUGAACCUGCGGAAGGAUCAUUAUUGUAUAACCGAGGUGCGAGGGUUGUCGCGGACCCGAAAGGUCGUGCACGCCCGAGUGUGUCCUCUUGCAUAAUAAUCCAUCUCACCCAUUGUGCAUCACCGCGUGGGCACCCUUCGGGAUCAUCUCGGAAGGGGGCUCGCGUUUUCACACAAACCCCCCUUUUAAAAGUGUAGAAUGACCACAUUUAUGCAAUAUAUACAACUUUCAACAACGGAUCUCUUGGCUCUC